GGUUGGAUAGCCAAGUGCAGUUAAGGCAGCACACCUAGAAUUGUGUCUCAGCUAACACUGAGGUCCCUGGUUCAAAUCCAGGUCUGAUCA
rnacentral:tRNA from 1 species